GUUGAAAUUCAGGACUUACAGAGAAAUUUUAACAGGCUGUGUUUAACACUGCCUGCCCAGGCUAUUCAAAUUCGGCCAUUACCUGCUAAAAGGACAAAAUUUAACAGAAGGUGCUUUUCGUCCUAUUUGGAUGCCUGAACGCGCAAUCAGACAUGGAAGAGAUAGAACCCAAUUCAAGCGACUGAAGAUCGACCCAGAGGAGCCCCUAUCCAAAAGGAAGAGACAUCGGAAAAAUGAAGAAAGACCAGAUUGACCCAGCCGAAAAGCUGAUUUCAUGGGAAGACGUGAAGAAGCUAACAACACAGGCUUCCUGAAUACUUUGACUCCUAGGAAAGAAGAGGACCCCAGUGAUGAUGGUAGCAACAGUAAUUGCCCUGCUGGGCUGUCAGGAUGGCGAGUCUUCGGAACAAGAAUACAGA